AAUUAUAUAGUAUAAAAUAAUUACAUUUAAUUUCCAAUUAAAAAAUUUAAAAUUAAUUAAUAUAAUUA
rnacentral:tRNA from 1 species